CCAGCCUGGAUUUUUCUAGCUCGUAGCUUCGCCCUGCUACGAAGCCUGUGUGCUUGUACAAAGGCCGUUCAGCCUCGGGAUUUACACUCGGCUCGACACGGAUAUGUGAAGAAUGAAGGGAGCCUGCAGCGAAACGGAGAGCUAACCUCUGACUGAGUGCCUGUUUUCACAGUCUGACCACCUGUUUAAGGGCUGUUUGAUGACGAUUUGGACUCCUCUGGGAGAUGAGGACACACCCACAUCUGUUCCAUACUGCAGCCAUGGAUGGUGUUACGGCUCUGAGUCAGCUUUGGGCCAUCAGAUGCACACACUGGAAAACCAGCGCCUGUACUUCAUGCAGGAGAGAUGACCUCAGUGAUGAUUGACUCUGCAUCCUCUACUUUACCUCCUAAUCUCUUUCUCUUUAACACACAAUUAAAAUCACUCCAAAAGAGUGUAAACUUACUGAGGAAGUCUCUAACUUGUACACAUUUGUACUUUUACUUGUUUUAUGAGUUAUUUUUAAGAAGAGUAAAGUUAUUCACAUAAAGUUUUUAUUCUUCUGUAUUUAUUCUUUUGUAUCAUGUACCACAGUCAUACUGAACUUUACAGACCUGGUGAAUUGGGGGGAAAAAAAGUCAUAUAUAUACAUGAAUGAAUCAUUCAGCUUCAGCAGUAUUUCUAUUCAUCUUAUGAAUUCCAGUCUAAUGUCAAUUCACUGUUUGAGUUCAGUUUUGGUCUUAAACUCCAGAGAAUACCACCUAGUUCAACAAUCUUUUUAUCUGAUUAUUUGCAAAACGGUUUUCUUCUGAGAGAUGCUGCUAGAGCUGAAAUUGAGCCCAAAGAAACAACAACAAAGUUUAGUUCCUCUGGAUUUUCCAUGGAAAAUUGCUUUAUCACUCACUCAGGUGACUUCUCCAGUGUCACGGAUGAGUGAUGAAUGUAUCUCCCACUGGAAACCAUUGUGUCCAGUUAAAGUCAAUCGACUUUUUUAAGGAGAGUUGUUAGAUGCUGUGCUCAUGAGGACAAUGAGUUUUAACUUGGAGCACAAUAAAAAGCUGCCAUAUUGGAUCAACGAACAAAACACUUAAUUGAGCAGAAUUAAGUCAAAAUGUAAUAUCCUCAUAUGACACAUCACACAUGACCC
ensembl:lncRNA